CCCGCAGUCAGAGAUGGCGAAGCCUCCACCGGGUCACCUCGGCCGGCCCCCGGGCUCCCCCGACCCCGCCCUGGCAGCGCCCCCCGCCGCGAGCUCCCGGGGCGGAGGAGCCGGCUCGGCUUUGAUUAGCAACACUUGCGGGGGCCGCGGCGCACCCUGACAGCCCGGCAGCUCCGCGCCAAAAUGGAUGGGUCUCGGGCGGCGAGGGCACGGAUACAAAUGCGCCGCCGCGUUCUCAGCAUAAGAAUAUGAGACAAGCAGCCACUGGCCCCUAAUGAGGAGAUUCAUGAAGACCUUAACCCAGCCUUCAGUCUGGAGCCUCCUUGAGCCUAGAUGGGCUAAGCUGAACCCCAGCCAACCUGCAGGCUCACAAGUAUGAAAAAUAAAUGUUUGUGAUGGUAAGCCAGUGAGAGUUGGGACUAUUACCCAGCCUUAUUGCAAUGGAAGCCUUGUUCAUACAGCGUUCCAGAGAGGACUUCUAUAAUCUCCUGCCUCAGACAUAAUUAAGGUAAGGAUCAAGACGAGAUCACACUGGAAAAGGUGGGCCCUAAAUCCAGUGAGAGGAUAGGAAGGCCAGCACUCUUAUUCUGUCCUAAUAAGAGACAGAGACGGGCACACAGAGACACAGAAGAAGGCCAUGUGUUGAUGGAGGCAGAGACUGGAGUGAUGCCGUCCCAAGCCAGGGAGUGCCUGGCUCCGCCAGGCACUGGAAGAGGCACUGAAUGGAUGCUUCUCGAGAGCCUUUGGAGGGAGCAUGACCCUGCUGACACCUUGAUUUUGCACUUCUGGCUUCUGGAACUAUGAGAGGGAGUCCUCUGUGGUAAACUGGUGGAGUCCAAAGCAAUUGUGUUUGACAAAUAAAACCGAAUGAUCUGGGUGAUGAAAACGUAAUAGCAAAAGACCAAUCCUGAAGAAUCCUCAGGGCCCGGGUGAGGAGGGAGGUGAAGCUCCAGCUCUGCUGUACCUAAAGUCUGACAAAUAAAAGUCCUGAGAAUGGAGGAGGUCUGG
rnacentral:lncRNA from 10 species